AAUAUUGGACAAUGGGGGCAACCCUGAUCCAGCCAUGCCGCGUGUGUGAAGAAGGUCUUCGGAUUGUAAAGCACUUUAAGUUGGGAGGAAGGGCUUGAGGCUAAUACCCUGAAGUUUUGACGUUAGCAACAGAAUAAGCACCGGCUAACUCUGUGCAAGCAGCCGCGGUAAUACAGAGGGUGCAAGCGUUAAUCGGACUUACUGGGCGUAAAGGGAGAGUAGGUGGUUCAGUAAGCUGGGUGUGAAAUCCCCGGGCUUAACCUGGAAACUGCUUUCAUAACUGCUGAGCUAGAGUACGGUAGAGGGUAGUGGAAUUUCCUGUGUAGCGGUGAAAUGCGUAGAUAUAGGAAGGAACACCAGUGGCGAAGGCGACUACCUGGACUGAUACUGACACUGAAGUGCGAAAGCGUGGGGAGCAAACAG
rnacentral:rRNA from 1 species